CAAUAGCGUAUAUUUAAGUUGUUGCAGUUAAAAAGCUCGUAGUUGGAUUUCGGUUAAGAGCGACCGGUCCGCCGUUUGGUGUGCACUGGUUGGUUUUAACUUCCUGUAGAGGACGUGCUCUGGGUUUAACGACCUGGACUCGGAGUCUACGUGGUUACUUUGAAAAAAUUAGAGUGUUCAAGGCGGGCUUACGCUUGAAUAUUUCAGCAUGGAAUAACACUAUAGGACUCCUGUCCUAUUUCGUUGGUCUCGGGACGGGAGUAAUGAUUAAGAGGAACAGUUGGGGGCAUUCGUAUUUCAUUGUCAGAGGUGAAAUUCUUGGAUUUAUGAAAGACGAACUUCUGCGAAAGCAUUUGCCAAGGAUGUUUUCAUUAA
rnacentral:rRNA from 1 species